ACAGCUAAAAUGUUUAGGUCCCGUUAUUAGACAGGUGUUGAUAAUGAGGUCCAGAAACAGGCCUCAAAUGGACCAUGCUGUCUACAUAUCUGGGUCCAGACCCACACUACUACUGCUUGCCAUCAGUACAGCAUCAGGGAGCUUGGAAUGUCUUCCAGAGAAUGCACUAUGCCUCACGUCCAAUUGCCCGAUUGCAUCAUUCUUUCUCUUCACCAAUGCCGAUCCCCGCUCUGAUUGAGGAGAACGAAGCUAACCCACGCCCCCUCCGACACGUGGGCAGCAUGCCGUAUUCAUCUUAUCACCUACACUUUGACGAGUGCAGUGCAGCUCAGCGUUGUGUACGGAGAGACACACCCUGACAGCAGUCUUUUUUUAUUUCUGUGCAGGCGCCAUCAAUCAGCCAGCAGAGGUCGUAAUUGCACCAGUCAUAAGACAGAGACCCCAUCUGGCUUAGUCCCGCCCAUAUCUGAACAACAGGUCAGUCGUUGUUCAUGUGGCCGCUCAGCCUUAGCUGGCAGUCAGAGCUGAGAUUCGAUACGAUGUAUUCGAGAUCCCAGCUCUGGUUCCAGCAUGUGUUUUUACCGCUGCGGCCCUGUCCAUUGGUUUUUUACACCAAUGGCCGGCACGGUGGUGAAGUGGGUAGCACUGUAGCCUCACAGCAAAAAGGUCCUGGGUAACGCCUUAGGUGGGGCAGUCCUGGUCCUUUCUGUGUGGAGUUUGCAUGUUCUCCCCGUGUCCGCGUGGGUUUACUCCGGGAGCUCCGGUUUCCUCCCACAAUCCAAAGACAUGCAAGUGAGGUGAAUUGGAGAUACUAAAUUGUCCAUGACUGUGUUUGAUGUAACCUUGUGAACUGAUGAAUCUUGUGUAAUGAGUAACUACCGUUCCUGUCAUGAAUGUAACCAAACUGUAAAACAUGAUGUUAAAAUCCUAAUAAACAAAAAACAAACAAA